rnacentral:rRNA from 1 species
AUCAGUGGCGAACGGGUGAGUAACACGUGAGCAAUCUGCCCCUGACUCUGGGAUAAGCGCUGGAAACGGCGUCUAAUACCGGAUACGAGCUGCGAUCGCAUGGUCAGUAGCUGGAAAGAAUUUCGGUCAGGGAUGAGCUCGCGGCCUAUCAGCUUGUUGGUGAGGUAAUGGCUCACCAAGGCGUCGACGGGUAGCCGGCCUGAGAGGGUGACCGGCCACACUGGGACUGAGACACGGCCCAGACUCCUACGGGAGGCAGCAGUGGGGAAUAUUGCACAAUGGGCGGAAGCCUGAUGCAGCAACGCCGCGUGAGGGAUGACGGCCUUCGGGUUGUAAACCUCUUUUAGCAGGGAAGAAGCGAAAGUGACGGUACCUGCAGAAAAAGCGCCGGCUAACUACGUGCCAGCAGCCGCGGUAAUACGUAGGGCGCAAGCGUUAUCCGGAAUUAUUGGGCGUAAAGAGCUCGUAGGCGGUCUGUCGCGUCUGCUGUGAAAACCCGAGGCUCAACCUCGGGCCUGCAGUGGGUACGGGCAGACUAGAGUGCGGUAGGGGAGAUUGGAAUUCCUGGUGUAGCGGUGGAAUGCGCAGAUAUCAGGAGGAACACCGAUGGCGAAGGCAGAUCUCUGGGCCGUAACUGACGCUGAGGAGCGAAAGGGUGGGGAGCAAACAGGCUUAGAUACCCUGGUAGUCCACCCCGUAAACGUUGGGAACUAGU